CCCCUCUCCCUCGCAUCUCUCUCUCUCUCUCUAUCUAUUUGUUUCUUCUCCACCCAAGCACCUCUAGUUGCCGCCGCCGUCGUCCACCGCGGCGACCGUCACCCCCGUCCCUCUCCAACGCAUAUCGGAGCUUCGCUUCCACCGGCUACUUCCUCUACGCCGCAAAACGCGAGCCGGGAGCCGCCUCUUUGUCGGGAUCGAGUGCUUCCCCGCGUUCGGACACUAGUGCCCUUCCUCGGAUCUCCUCCCUCGGCACCUCCCCGACCUCCCGAGCUCAUCAAUGAGAACCUCUAUAGUGGAGCCCAGGAACCAGAUGCCACCAUCGACGAAGACUACUACUACCAUUAGGGUGCCCUACUACAUGGAGGCCGCCGACGACCAGGAGUAGUUAGGAGGCUACCAGGCAGGAGGCCUUGCCUUUUCGAUCUAUGUUGCUUUUGUGAUAGCCUUCUUGAGGAAAACUUGUCUAACUUAUGUCUGUACUCAGAUAUCUUUGCUUCCGCUGACUCGUUUGUAUUCGGGCUUAUGUAUUCGAGGCCUCGAGGCCCC
rnacentral:rRNA from 1 species